AUUGAACGCUGGCGGCAGGCUUAACACAUGCAAGUCGAGCGGAGAGAGGUAGCUUGCUACUGAUCUUAGCGGCGGACGGGUGAGUAAUGCUUAGGAAUCUGCCUAUUAGUGGGGGACAACAUUUCGAAAGGAAUGCUAAUACCGCAUACGUCCUACGGGAGAAAGCAGGGGAUCUUCGGACCUUGCGCUUAUAAAUGAGCCUGAGUCGGAUUAGCUAGUUGGUGGGGUAAAGGCCUACCAAGGGGAGGAUCGGUAGCGGGUCUGAGAGGAUGAUCCGCCACACUGGGACUGAGACACGGCCCAGAGUCCUACGGGAGGCAGCAGUGGGGAAUAUUGGACAAUGGGCGCAAGCCUGAUCCAGCCAUGCCGCGUGUGUGAAGAAGGCCUUAUGGUUGUAAAGCACUUUAAGCGAGGAGGAGGCUACUUUAGUUAAUACCUAGAGAUAGUGGACGUUACUCGCAGAAUAAGCACCGGCUAACUCUGUGCCAGCCGCCGCAGUAAUAC
rnacentral:rRNA from 1 species